ACUUCCCCCCCGCCCCUGCCAAAGAGUGGUUUCUUUUUAUAAACAUUACACGUGUGUGCGUGUACGCUCUGACCAGACAAUCAGUUUCCAAUCGGAUCUUCUCGUGUGCGUAAGUGCGUAUCGUGAAAGUGCUAAGAGACUAAAGUGAAGUUGAAGUGACCAAUUGUUGUGAUGUGCGGAACCCAAGUGACAUAGCAAGAUUUUUAUUUAUUCAUGCAAGAACAAAUUUAGAUCAGAGGCUAAAAAUAAGUACUUAUAUGUAAUAUAGAGAGAUUUUAAAUAUUUGUGGGUGUUUUAUUCAGAGAAGUUUUUUCCAGGGAGUCGUGUGAUUAGACCCCACUUGAAUGUAUUAGAAGGCACAAAUGCUUUUUUCGUAAAAUUCGGUCGUAACAGUAAACUUUCGUGAUGAACGUACUAGUUAAUAUGUCACCAGAACAGGUUAUUUUUAAUUCCGGGUAACGAAUGUAGAAAUUAAGAAUUUCAUAUCUCAAAUUACACCAUAGAGGCUACUUCAAUUAUUGAUAAAUACACCAAAUUAAAACAAGAUUUACAGUAUUAUUAACUUAAAGAACAACAGCAAUUACGUCCAUAUAGGCAUAAAACAUAAUCUUUGUAAUGAUAAAGUGCUAACCGAAUUAUUGAAUAUUAUGUGGACGAACUUCGGCGUUGUAGUGUUAAAUAUGGUGUUCGUGACCUGUUUGAAGCUACCAUUCCUACAUCUACUUGGAGAGACUGAGAAAAUACACGAAAGAAACUAAACUUAACCGGUAAGCUGCUCGAGAUUCUAAUUGCGAACCUCCAGAGUACAAGUCCAGAACGUACCUUCACAGCAUCCAGUUCGGUGGAAGAACGUAAAUAUCAUCUGUAUGUGACACGAACCGGCGAGAAGAAGAGGCACAGAUAUUGAGGAGGUUCCCCGCACUGCUCUGUCAUCGCGUUCAUCAAUUCCUCCAUUCCUCCUCGAAAGGUCCGCUCCACCUGAAGACGUGUCAAGAAAAUAAAUCUUCGUUAGAGCAAAAACGACGUAACUGCAGAAUUAGAUGUUCGGAGCCAACAGAACAGAGACAGCCGCAGACGGCGCCACAAGCGGCAAUCGUCCGGUUCCGAGGGACCACGUGUGGCGGGCACAGGGUGGGGGAUCGCCGCGACGCUGCUAGACGCUGAGUCGGAGUCCUCUCCGGGACGAAAGCUCCGCCCCUACCGAGCUAGGACGCAACGCUGGGAGCAAAUAUGGCGACCCCCGUCGGGAGCCAGACAAGUCAGGAUAACCUUUACAUCUGCAGCUUAUAAGAUCACGCAGAAAUAAAGAAGAAACGAACAUCAGCAGUAUCAUCAAUUCAACAUGGCGGCAACAUCCAAGUGGGAAGGAAGACGAAGAAGACUAAAAGCUCUUUUCUGCUUCGUCCGUUCCUUUUCAGUCGGAACAUCCUUCAGCUCCCUUCCACUACUUCCUCCCCCAACCCACCUUCCCUCCUCAUCUCUUCUCUCCCCUCCACUUUAGAGCAUUGAUCCCCCCUCCACCCGUUUGCAAGGUACGACGCGGCUCAGCCCUCUGAAGUUCGUUCAAUACUUCUUCCAGACGCCAGGAGCGGCAAGAUGGACGCAGAGCGCCGAGGCGAGAUGAUAAGAAAGAAACCUCAAACAAACAUUUACAAACACUUUCUUAGACGAAAUUCCUCUCUACGCGCUCGGGGUGACACUUUCUGAAACAUGAAAGACUACGCACUCCGACACGUAACUUUAUGAAAUCUAUGGUGAUAAUUUAAAUUUGUGUUCCGGGUUACAACAUCUUGCAGUAUCGCAUGUGGUUACUAAAUAUUUCACAAAAACCUGCUGCCUCCGUCACUGGGGUGUUAUAACCCGAAAGGCCACAACAUAGAAUCAGUUUCUUAGUUCUUUUUGUAGGGUUGUGGGGGAGAACAUGGUUUACCUUUUUAUUAUUCAGUUUUCCAAUAAGUUUUAUUACAAAAAUCCUCAGUCAAGGUAGACUAUCUCCGGGCAGACUUGAACUCAAGAUCCCCCAAAUAUUAAACAGAACUGAUAAUCAUAAUAAUUAAGAAAGAGUAGUUUUAACUUAUUAUGAAGUGGUAUCUGGAUUUUCUUUUCGGAAAUGAGGAACACCACUAAUAAACAGGAUAUCCUAUCUCCGAGCCAAGAUUCCGCACAAUGUCCUAUCGAAUAAAAGGUUUAAGCGAGGCUACUACACGUUAUUGAUGCUGAAGUCAUUUUAAUGUUAAUCAGAACAAGCGGUAAGUGAUAAUCGGUUAAACACGCUUGAGGGAAUCGAGAAACAUACGUAAGUUUAGCCGGUGACGCUAAUGGGAAGGGACCUGUUAGGAUACCAGGGCGCAAUGGUAGAAUAAUAAGUUUUCUAAAGUGAAAUAUACUGCUAGCUGUGUGCUGGAUUCAACUGGCUCAGAACAGGGCACAAUGGGGGUUUCUUUUCCACCUGAGCACCGUUGAACGAUUCACCAGCGCCACAGGCCUAUAAAGUGAAAUGCAGCAGCAAUUAGAGUUUAUCUCUUAAUGCGACUCAGAGAAAGAAAGUGGGAGUUAUGGAUGAAUAUGAGAUAUUAGAGCCCUCUCACACACUAAAAUGCUUCAUAAUCAGGCGCAACUGUUUCAACCCUUAUUUCACACCCCUUAAUUUGAUAAAAUAAAGGUAAGUUACGAGUAGGUAUAAACAGUAUAAUUUGAUUUUAAAUCUACAUUUUGAUUUAUAUUUUCCAGCCGGUUUGUGUAAAUGAUUCGUCUGAUUUUAUAAGCAAACGGUUUGAUAUAUGAAUAUUUAUUUUCCGCUUGGUUGUAAAUCAUAGAGACUUGCUUAAAGCAAGUGCGCAGAGAGCAGUUAAGGUGGGAAAGAAGCAGAAGCAGUGAGGGAGGGGGAGGGGGAACAUUAAAACCACGUCACGUACUGGCUUUCCUACAGUCUCCAAAAAUUAUGGUUGAAAAAUUGCAGUCUCAGAAUUUUAAGAGGUUUUUAGUUACGACAUGAGCUGGUAACUGCUCAUGCAUUUGUACCUCGGAGGGUUUUAACCGAAAUUUAUGGGUAAUUACAAAUUCCAAGUCGAGAAAAACAGUAUGUAGCCUGGUCUAAAACCUUACUUAUGAACGGCUGAGAACAUUGAAAAGGGAUUACUAUUAACAAGUGCCACAACAGUAAUUAUCUUCAACUACUUUAAAUUAACUUUAUCGAUAUAAUUUAUCCUCUCCAUACAGAAAAUUUCAGUUGAGAGAAACGCUCUUGCUUAACAAAAGAUGCCACGAAACAAAUUUUCAUUAACUUCGUUUACUCUUUGCUUCUUUGUUUUAUAUUUUGAGAUUUUCAUCAGAAAUACACUUUUUUCUUCAGUGCCACAAAACACAAAUUUUCUUCAACUACUUUUAUUCUUUAUUUCACUCAGUCACUGACGAGAUUUCCAACAUUAGAACGUCUCUUGUUAUAUUUUCAUUACAGAUUAUGAAUUUAUUUUGUGGGUGGGAAAAUGCCAUUCUUAAUCUCAAAGUGACGUCAAACCCAGUUUCUUUUCACAGAUAACGUAAAACACAAAAAAUAAUUUCGGAAAGAAAGACUGAUUUCAAGGAGACAUAUGUCAUUCGUAACACGAAUAUAUCUAACGAUACAUAACGAUAUGAAACUGAAUAACAAAUUGCUGAGGAUUUGAACUGGCUUCUUUGAAUAUAGGCUGUUAUCCUGUCAGUAAUGUCUUUAGGCCUAUCUCAUAGGCCUACAGAAAUACGCAUAAGAAGUGAACAACAUUUAUUAAUAUAAACAACUAUUGUCGUUAAACUGCACAGUCUACACAGAAGGUUGAAUCCACACUAUUCCUCUUUGUCCCACUUCAAUAUUGUCCUCCAGUCGACGGACAGAUCGCGUAAGUGUUAUUUUAACUUGAGAUUUUCGAAAUCAAAAUUUAUAUGCAUUUUUCAUCUUCAGCAUUAGUUCUAAAUGUCCUGACCAUCUCUUCAAUCUUGACUGCUUACCACAAUACAGAUGAAGGGUACAAUUUAUAAAACUCCACUUAAUUCUUUAAAACACAGUGGUAACUAUAUAUACCACAUAAUUUAAGAAAAAAUAAAUCUGUAUUUUGCCCACGCGGCGUAUUUAUGAGUUUCAUACGAUUUUCAGAAUAAACAAAAUAAUUUACUUAAGCAACAUUAAUCAUCUCAUCCUUGUAACGGAGAUGCUUUGUGUUUUCUUUGAAGUACGGACUGAAUUAUUAAAUAUUAUUUAGAUGAGCUUGGAUUCAAAUGGUUGAACAGUUUAAACGACAAGAUGAGUUUUAAUACGACGUCGCAAAUGUUGCAUUCAUAAAGACUAUACAGUUCUUAAGACAGGCCUUCGUUUUAAUGCUCGAAAAAAUAAGUAUCAUACUUUUAAAUUCCAACGAAGUUUGAAGCUGCCGUAAAAUUAGCAUAAUCUUAUUCUUUUCUAGUCUUCAAGUUAUGGAACUGAAACAGCUUAAUAUCUACAAGAGGUUCUGAGUAAAAUGUUGUAGAACUACUUCCUGUGGCGCAUUAAGCUGAUAAGUCUGACGCUGACUUCCCCUUAUCCAAGUUCAAGUCACAGGGAUUAUGGCACCAAGAGAAAGAACAUUCUACGUCGAGCUUGUCUUCCAAACUGUCUGUCUGUCCUCGACCUUAAGAUCGCAGGACCAGACCAUGCUAGACAUAUUCGAGUCUCAUCCAAUAUUUUGUAUUAAUAGAUAAUAAUUAAGGGAUUAACAAAUCUAUUAACUAGCCAAGUAGCUGACGUAACUAACCUUCCGACUGUAGUUUGUGAUCACAGUGUGUGAUUUACAUGGAAGAAUUUUCUUUGAGAUACUGCCUGUGUAAAAUGAAUUUGCGACGUUGCGAGUGAAAAAUCUCUCCGUCUUCAGGUAGAAGGGAAGUAAACGCCUGUGAUUCCCGUUAAAUCAAUCUUGUUCUAGUAACAAAGAAUAUUUUCAUCUAUUGGGACCAAUAAAGCAUAUACAUUAUCACUUCACCUGAAAUGAAAUAUUGUGCCAGCCUCUAAAACUUCGUGUAUUCACACUCGUUAAGUUAGCAGUCCGUCUACAAAACAAUUCUUAUUACAGUUUCAAUGUUUAUUAAAAAUCCACCACAUAUAUCGACCUUAAUUGGCCAUCUUCGUAUAUAUGUUCCAUUCAGACAAUGCGUAAAGAAAACGCUGCCAUGUUGAAACAAAUAUGAGCUUUAGGCUGUGUGGGACUUCUGCAAGCAAACAGCAGAGGAAAUAAAGCGACACGUUGAUGUAGACUGUUUUUUUUCUUCUGAGUAGCAAGCCUAUAUUUAUUACCCUUCUUGGUAAUAAAUUAUUUGCACCCGAAAUGACUUAUUAGUUCGUAGGUCUUAAUUUGGCAUUAGCAAUGUUGAACCUCCGGAUUCAUAUACCAGAUAUUUUAAUUGAUAAAUUCAAUACUUACUAAGUCAUUAAAUUAUGGUUUCUUAAUAAAUUACUCAAUAUCUUCACCCGUUUAAUUAAUCACUGUUUCGUCAGUUAGUUAAUCAGACAAUUAUAUAACUUAAGUCAAACAAUCAAUCAAUAACUUAAUUAUUUACUUAGUUACUUCGUAAAUAAGUUACCAAGAAAACUACAAGUCAGAUGAUAAUUUAGUUAGCCAAUUAAUUGCAGAUCUGCGACCUAAGAAAUUAACUACCAGCAGUUAAUUAUUUAGACUUACAUAUAAUUAACAGUUUUUUACCAAUGAAUUACUUAGGACUAAUUGGCUAGUUAAUCAUUCAGUUAACUAGUUAAUCACCCAAAUGUUCCGAUAAUUAGUUAAUGACAUAGAUGGAGAAAAAUGAUUUAACACUUAGUUCGUCAGUUAAUUAUUAUAUGUCAGUCUAUUAUAUAACCGACUGAUUAAUCAAUAAGUUGGUUAAGUAUUACUGAUGCCUAUUCUUGAAGUGCUUAAGUAACAAGAAGGCUACGUCUCAGUUAUUCCGACUUGUGUGAUGUCCAGCACGUGUGCUCGUCAGUUAGUUAGCCAUAAACGGACGCAGAGUUCUACACACCUACUCAGGCACCGAGGGGUUGAUCACGUAUGCAGAACCGGGACACGUAAAAGAGGAUAGAGCAAGUAGUUCGCAGUGGCGUCUUGCUAAUCCUUGGAUCUUGUUGCCAGCGGGAGCUAAGCUCCUCUUCGGAAGAAGAGAGAAGAUACAGAGAAACUGAAACAAGCGAAGGGUGUGGGAGGGACGGUAAUUCUGGCGAAUAGCCUGACAUCGCCAAUACCAACAGAAGACGGCCUGCAGACGCGGAGUAUCUAAGGACAACCGACAACAUAUGAUCCUUUAUCGUGGGGAUGGACGUCGGUAUAAAUUCCACAAACAUACAAAAAUUUAGUAGAAAUUUCUCAUAUUACGAAGAUUUCUGUCUUCUGGGUUGUUGCAUCGUGUAGUAUAAAUUGCCCUGAUGACGGAGGCAGUAUGACCUCUGAAACGUUGGUUAACAUCGACCAGACUACACAGCGCAACAACCCAGAAGACAGAAAUCUUCAUACCAACCGCUGUGAAAACCUCAAAUCAUUCUCAUAUUACCUUAGACUUAGAUUCUAUGAUAACAUAUAAGCAAUAAUAAUACUACAUUUAUAACUUUGAAAUACUGUAAUGAAGAUUCCUACAAUAC